GUCCACGCCCUAAACGAUGUCAACUGGUUGUUGGGAGGGUUUCUUCUCAGUAACGUAGCUAACGCGUGAAGUUGACCGCCUGGGGAGUACGGCAGCAAGGUUGAAACUCAAAGGAAUUGACGGGGACCCGCACAAGCGGUGGAUGAUGUGGUUUAAUUCGACGCAACGCGAAAAACCUUACCUACCCUUGACAUGUCUGGAAUCCCGCAGAGAUGUGGGAGUGCUCGAAAGAGAGCCAGAACACAGGUGCUGCAUGGCCGUCGU
rnacentral:rRNA from 1 species